rnacentral:rRNA from 1 species
AUAAAGCCCCCCGCUUACGCCGGGAGGACAUCCGUUUAACUCGGAUCAUUUUGAGCCUAAAAUCUAGCCUAUAUCUCCCCAUGCCCCCAACUAACCUUAGCCACCCCACCAAAACAUUUUUUCAUUAUAGUACAGGAGAUCAAAAAAUUUCUAAGCGCUUUAGAUAGAGUACCGCAAGGGAACAAUGAAAUAAAAUGAAAUACCUUUAAGCUAAAUGUAGCAGAGAUUCAACCUCGUACCUUUUGCAUCAUGGUCUAGCCAGUCCCAUCAAGCAAAAAGAAAAUUUAAGUUUGCCACCCCGAAACUAAGCGAGCUACUUCAGAACAGCCCCUAGGGCCAACCCGUCUCUGUUGCAAAAGAGUGGGAAGAUUUUCAAGUAGAAGUGACAGACCUACCGAGCUUAGAGAUAGCUGGUAAUUCAGGAAAUGAGUUUCAGCUCAACCUUAAGUUUUUUUAAUUAUACUAAAAAUUACCUUAAACUUAAGAGUUACUCAAAUAAGGCACAGCUUAUUUGAAACAGGACACAACCUAAAACAUUGGGUAAACAGGAUACCUCAUAAUUAAGUAGGCCUAAAAGCAGCCAUCUUUUGAAAAGCGUCACAGCUUAUCUUAUUUUUUCCCAAUUCCUUAAUUUUUCCUCAACCCCUACCACCUACUGAAUUAUUUUAUACCCUUAUAAAAGUAAUUAUGCUAGAACUAGUAACAAGAAAUUGAAUUUCUCCUAAAUGUAAGCAUAACCCAUAUGGACCCCCCCCGGCACUUAACGUCUGUGCAAUCUUUAUAAUAACAUUACUCAAGAAAGCCUUAUUAAAUUAAACGUUUACCUAACCCCAGAACAUUUCAGGAAAGAUUAAAAGAGAGAGAAGGAACUCGGCAAAUUUUAGCCCCGCCUGUUUACCAAAAACAUCGCCUUUUGACAUAAUAUAAGAGGUCCAGCCUGCCCGGUGACAAAGUUUAACGGCUACGGUACCCUGACCGUACGAAGGUAGCAUAAUCACUUGUUCCUUAAAUAGGGACUUGUAUCAACGGCAUCACGAGGGCUGCACUGUCUCCUCUCUCCAAUCAGUGAAACUGAUCUCCCCGUGAAGAAGCGGGGAUUGAAUUAUAAGACGAGAAGACCCCAUGGAGCUUUAAACAACGUAUCCACACUAUUAGUAUAUCAACUUAAUAAAAGCCCUGAAUACAAGUUUUAGGUUGGGGAGACCGCGGAGUAUAAUCAAACCUCCACGACAGACGGCUCAAGCCCUUAUCCACGAGUUACAACUCUAAGAAUCAGUACUCUGAUGAUUAUGACCCGAUACUAUUCGACUAACGAACUAAGUUACCCUGGGGAUAACAGCGCAAUCUACUUCAAGAGCUCAUAUCGACAAGUAGGUUUACGACCUCGAUGUUGGAUCAGGGUAUCCUUGUGGUGCAGCAGCUAC